GAUGAACGCUGGCGGCGUGCCUAAUACAUGCAAGUCGAGCGAACAGACGAGGAGCUUGCUCCUUCGACGUUAGCGGCGGACGGGUGAGUAACACGUAGGUAACCUACCUAUAAGACUGGGAUAACUUCGGGAAACCGGAGCUAAUACCGGAUAAUAUUUCGAACCGCAUGGUUCGAUAGUGAAAGAUGGCUUUGCUAUCACUUAUAGAUGGACCUGCGCCGUAUUAGCUAGUUGGUAAGGUAACGGCUUACCAAGGCAACGAUACGUAGCCGACCUGAGAGGGUGAUCGGCCACACUGGAACUGAGACACGGUCCAGACUCCUACGGGAGGCAGCAGUAGGGAAUCUUCCGCAAGGGGCGAAAGCCUGACGGAGCAACGCCGCGUGAGUGAUGAAGGUCUUCGGAUCGUAAAACUCUGUUAUUAGGGAAGAACAAACGUGUAAGUAACUGUGCACGUCUUGACGGUACCUAAGCAGAAAGCCGCGGCUAACUACGU
rnacentral:rRNA from 1 species